AGUGGGAUAGCUGGGUCAAAUGGUGAUUCCAUUCCAGGUUUUCUGAGGAAUCUCCAUACUGCUUUCCAGAGUGAUUGCACCAAUUUGCAGUUCCACCAGCAAU
rnacentral:pre_miRNA from 1 species